rnacentral:lncRNA from 1 species
CCAAUUAAAAUAAGAUAAUUAUUUAACUUAAAUUAAUAUUUUAUUUAUUAAUUUAAUUGAAUAAUUGGAAUUUUGAUUAUUAUUAUUAUUAUUUUGGAAUAAUAAUUAUUGGAAUAAAUUGUAACACCCCAAUUAAAAUAAGAUAAUUAUUUAACUUAAAUUAAUAUUUUAUUUAUUAAUUUAAUUGAAUAAUUGGAAUUUUGAUUAUUAUUAUUAUUAUUUUGGAAUAAUAAUUAUUGGAAUAAUU